rnacentral:rRNA from 1 species
AACCCCCGCCCGUUAGUUGCCAGCGGUUCGGCCGGGCACUCUAACGGGACUGCCCGCGAAAGCGGGAGGAAGGAGGGGACGACGUCUGGUCAGCAUGGCCCUUACGGCCUGGGCGACACACGUGCUACAAUGCCCACUACAAAGCGAGGCCACCCGGCAACGGGGAGCUAAUCGCAAAAAAGGUGGGCCCAGUUCGGAUUGGGGUCUGCAACCCGACCCCAUGAAGCCGGAAUCGCUAGUAAUCGCGGAUCAGCCAUGCCGCGGUGAAUACGUUCCCGGGCCGU